AGCUCAGUUGGUAAAGAAUCUGCCUGCCAUGCAGGAGACCCAGGUUCAAUUCCUGG
rnacentral:tRNA from 1 species